GAUGAACGCUCGCUACAGGCUUAACACAUGCAAGUCGAGGGGAAACGCCAUCGAAAGCUUGCUUUUGAUGGGCGUCGACCGGCGCACGGGUGAGUAACGCGUAUCCAACCUGCCCAUCACUUGGGGAUAACCUUGCGAAAGUAAGACUAAUACCCAAUGAUAUCUCUAGAAGACAUCUGAAAGAGAUUAAAGAUUUAUCGGUGAUGGAUGGGGAUGCGUCUGAUUAGCUUGUUGGCGGGGUAACGGCCCACCAAGGCAACGAUCAGUAGGGGUUCUGAGAGGAAGGUCCCCCACAUUGGAACUGAGACACGGUCCAAACUCCUACGGGAGGCAGCAGUGAGGAAUAUUGGUCAAUGGGCGAGAGCCUGAACCAGCCAAGUAGCGUGCAGGAAGACGGCCCUAUGGGUUGUAAACUGCUUUUAUAAGGGAAUAAAGUGAGAGUCGUGACUCUUUUUGUAUGUACCUUAUGAAUAAGAGCCGGCUAAUUCCGUG
rnacentral:rRNA from 1 species